GGCCCGAUGGUGAAAUGGUAUACACGCAACACUUAAAAUGUUGUGCCUUAUGGGCGUGUGGGUUCGAGUCCCACUCGGGCUA
rnacentral:tRNA from 2 species